rnacentral:lncRNA from 1 species
UUCUCUUAACAGCUACAAAAAGGAAGACGUUAGUGCAGCGAUAAGAGGAGAAGCUGCUAAUUCCCUGGACUCUGUAGACGUGUUUCUCUGAAAACAGAAGUGCCACCAGAACCAGCUGGUGAAGGUGAUGAAGCUAUGUAGUUUGUUCCUGACGCAGACACAGUGCCUCCUCCCGCAGCAGCACUUGGAUUCCCCGGUUGAGUUGGACCCACGCGUGGGCUCCAUCGAGAAGGAUGCGGAGCCUGAGAACACAGCAACAACAUUCAAUUCCAAAAUGCAAAACUACUCUACGACUAGGGCUUGAGCAAGAAGUAACUUUUGAAUGUAUACCAUAUUGUGCUGUGAAAAGGCGGCUGCUCUUCUGAGCGGAGAUUCAGAUGAUGAAGAAGCACCGCAUAGUCGAAGAACACUGGGAGUUUGAGCAUUAUUAUGAUUCCCUGCAUCAUUCGUCUCUCCGCCUUCCAUGUGAGUACCAGCAUUACCUCCAGAGUCAUUAGAGACAUCUACAUGGAGUGGAAGAGAAGGACGAGACGAUGUUGUUCCUGGCUGUUGCGUGAUGCUGCUGCGCCUUUUCAAUUCUUCCUCAGCAUUCAGAAUCUGUGAACAUCCGUCAAUUUUGACAUGAAUAAUAACGAUAAACAGCAUGUGUAUUGACAUAGCAGAAAGAAAGUGCACUGACCAGCUUAAGAACUUGGACGAGAUUGUGUUUCUUUGCAUUCAACACUUGUAAUCUCUCCUCCACUUGUUUCUCUUCUUUCUCUAUUUCGCUUGGUACUACUUCUUCAGCUGUUUCCUUUGCCUUGUGAAAACACAACAAUAAAGCUAGACACGAUAAGGACUCAACUGAUUGGUGUCAAUCUAAGGUAAGAUAACGAAACAACCUCAGAGAAAGCUUACAACUUUACGAGUUCAUGAAAGCCCCAAACUGAUAACUCUGUUGCAACUAACGCUACUUGAGGAGGGCGGGCACACAUCAAAGUAAGUUUCAUCAAAUCAGUUCACCUAAAAUUAGCAACCUUUCCUAAUCUCCUAUGUACUUCAUCGAACCACUAACACUUGUACUCAAAAUCUAUUGGAAUGUCUCAAAGAAGCAUACCUCCGCCUUAUGAUUCGCGGCUUCCUCGUGUGGUAAAUUAUCGGUUUCAUUAUUCGAUAGCAAUUCCAUCACUCCAUCUCCACCCCCCGAUCCUCCUGCUCGAGCUCCUUCAAUUCUGACAUUAUCCUCUUCCCUAACCUGAUUCCCACUAACCUCCUCUCUCUUCACCUCAACAAGCUUCUGUUUCCCGGACGAACCGGGCCGUUCAGAUGGAAUCGCAUCCUUCCGAUCCGUAGCCUGCUCAGACUUGACGUUAUGGCUCGGGUUAGGGUUAGGGUUAGAAUUAGGGGAGAGACGAGAAAGAGCUCGCUUGCGGCGGUGAAGGAGAGAUUUGAAGUCUUUGAAAGAGAGGUUGCGAUCCGGCAUCGUCCAGCGGCGAGGCACGUCGGGAACUUUGUGAAGGUUGCCUCUGUACAUGGAUAUCGCCACCAUCUCUUUCUUUUUUUCUUUUUUGGGUUCCGUCGUCGAAUUCGCCGUUUCGUUCUGCUACCGUGAUCCUAUGACGAAGGGAUUUCGAGUUGCGUGAUGUUUUGCUAUGCGAGAUGAGAAACGUGCGCCGUUUCUGUACACGAAAUUUCUAUGAUUGUAUUUAAGCCGAUGGGAAAGCCCACAAAUGUAUGUUUAAAGCCCAUUUACUAUCCAAUUUUAUUAUUAUUUCUUAAAUGUUAUAUCUAUCUAUCUUUUUUUUUUAACGAACAACAAAAACUAUAUCUAUAAAAAGUGAAAAUUCCCAAAAAAAUAGCUGAACUAAUUUACAUUUGCUAAAAAAUAUUUAAACAAUUUUGGUUCAUUUUUUAAAGGUUGAUAUCAUCAGUUUAGCGGUUUAAACCUUUCGAUUUUUCAGAAGUAUAAGUAUUAAUUGGCUAUAAAAUUAAAAUAAGUUAUAUAUUAUAUAGAAAGUCAAAAUAGUUUAUGUAUUUUUGAGAAAAUAAAAAUUAAUUUAAAUAUUUUUUGGUAAUUUCAAAACCAAGAAAAAACAUGAAAAUUAAGAGAUUUUGUUCUUCGAUCCGAUUUAAUUAUUUUCAAGGUUUUAGGUAGUUUAGGUUUUUAAAACUCUUAUUGAAAUUAACUGACUGAAAAUAUGAUUCAGUUUUUGGUUCUGGAUGAUAAAUUAUUGACCAAAGUUAACUGAUUCUUGGUAUUUUGGUUAAAUUAUUGCUAAAUUUGAUUAGUUCAGUUCUUUUGCUCAGAUAGUGUAUGUUUUGUAACAUUUUGGUAUACCUUGAUAAAAUUUGGUAUCCAUUAUUAGAAAACUAUAUAUUUUUUUAAAGCCGAGUUUUAUUGCAGAACAAAGUGUUUGUUGGAUCCACGAUCAAGAUUAUCGGUUUCAUUAAAAAAAAAUUUAUUAUCCGAUAAUCAACUUUCAUAUCCUCACAAUGUAUAUUAAAUCUGAAAUAAUAUAAUUAUUACCAUUUAUUAUCCAAUUUUAUUAUUAUCUCUUAAAGUUAUAUAUAUAUCUAUCUUUUUUUUCUGAACGAACAACAUCUAUACUAUACUAAAAGUUGCAUAUCCUCAAUAGAGAGGGUGUCCACCUCAGCUAGAAAAAUCAACCAAUCAUAAGCUUUCUUUAUGCCACUUCACAUCCUUCUUUGUCGACAUUGAAUUGCAAAUAGGCCUAAUAUUUUGGGUUUAUAAAAUUUGGCUGUGGCCCAUUUGAAACCUUUCUUACUCUUUCUUAGUCUCUUCCCUCGCUCUGGCUGAUAAUGAAAUAUGUAGACCCAUCUAUACCUUCUGCACGCACAGCCCAGUUGCACAUUGCAUCCUUACAUCAAAUAUACCACAAUUUUCUCGUGGAUUUGAAAAUAGUGUAAUCAAAAUUAUUCUUCAUCGCUAAAAUUUCCAUUGUUGCCUUCAGAACCCUUUACUUCUGAAAAUUUGAUCCUUCUUCACGAAAUCUCCUCUCCACGCUUGGCCAUCCUUUUCACUGUCUCCAUUGUUUUGACAAUCUCCAAUGAUUUCACUCCUUAAAGCAGCAUCACCGUAACCAUCCGCAGCGACAUGAUCCUUCCUUCUAACACAAGACUCUUUUGACGGCUUCACAAACUCUGCUCGAUUUAUCUCAGGAACUUCUUCAUCCUCAACAUUACUUGAAUCACAAGGCUCCUUAUUCAAAUCGAUAUUGACUCGUUCCUUUUGAUUUACACCAGAAACAGGGAACAUGACAUACAAGGUAGUAGACGAAUCCCUCUUUGCAUAGCCCACAAAAUUAGAUGCUUGCCGAUCAUUGGUGAUAAUAAUUGGAGAAUUCCCUCUUUGAUUCAACAACGAAUAACUGAGCUCGGCAUUAACGGCAUUAUGGUCCACCCCAUAAUCCUCACACACCAUGUCUUGAGCUGCUUCAACGUAGUAGUAGUUUCUAAUGUUACCAUUCGACCACGCCUUUCUUUGUCAACCACGAAACUCCACUCAUCACUACAACUAGACAUCCAUUCACCAGAUUUAACAUAGAUUAGAAGCGUGUUGUAUUGAUAGAGAAAAGAGAUGAUUAUGUUGAUGAAGAAGAGAGAAACACAAACAACGAAGAGAAAAAAUCGUGGGAGAAGGAGAAAAACGUGGGGAAAAAUAUUCUAUGAGAUAUUUAGGGAAGAUUUAGUUUAGAUUUAGGAAACGUCUUUAACCGAAUAUGGAAGUUUCCAUAUUUUCCGGAUUUCCCGUAGAAUAUAUAUUCUAGCUAACUCAAAACACAGUAGAGUAGAUGUGAAAUAUAUUCAUCCUUAAGCGCCACAUAAGGUAAAAACAGAACAUGUUAUGUCACAAAAUGUAGAUAAGGUAUAUCACUGCGUUGUGGCUAUAUAUCGUUAUCAAGCUGUAGGUAUACUGAAGACAUCUUUCUAGAAUAUAUAAGAAAUGCUAGUUUACGUUGUAUACCCAAGAUAUAUCUAUGUAUAAAACGUAGUAUCCAAUUUCUAGACUAAGUAGAUGACCAUAAUGAGUAUUCUAACUAUAGCUAGAAUAUAAAAUAAAAUAUGAUUCUACUUUAAAAAAAAACUUUUAAACAUAUAUAUUAUCCCAAUAGUUUUUAUAUUUUUUAACAUUUAUAAAAUUUAGUUUACUAUUUUUCCAUAAAAGAAGUGUAAAAUAUGUCUAGAAAUGUCUAAAAUAUGAGAAGUCCUAUUGUAAAUAAAAGUUAAUAGUUCAAAAUGUGUCAUUUUUCCAAUUUUCCCUUAAUUUAACCUCGCCCGACUAUUAAUUAUGGGAUUAGAAUACAUAUAAAUGGAAUAAGCAUAUAAAUAUUUAUUAGAUUUCUGAUACGGAAACUGAAUGUGUUACCAAUCUGAAAUUAAACUACAUUUUGUUACGGUCGGACCAAACAAUCUUCAGUGUAAAACAUCAUAUUUAUAGAACAAUCGCUAUGAACACGUUUCUGAUUAUCUCACAUUAGUUUUCUCUUAACAGCUACAAAAAGGAAGACGUUAGUGCAGCGAUAAGAGGAGAAGCUGCUAAUUCCCUGGACUCUGUAGACGUGUUUCUCUGAAAACAGAAGUGCCACCAGAACCAGCUGGUGAAGGUGAUGAAGCUAUGUAGUUUGUUCCUGACGCAGACACAGUGCCUCCUCCCGCAGCAGCACUUGGAUUCCCCGGUUGAGUUGGACCCACGCGUGGGCUCCAUCGAGAAGGAUGCGGAG